rnacentral:lncRNA from 1 species
GGACUUGCUAUGGCGAUGUUAGUAGCUCGUUGCAAUAUUGUUACUGUCGUGGUUCUCAAUUUAGCUGCUACUCCUCUCGAGCUAAGGUAAACACACACCCAGCAUUAAAAAUAAUAAAUAAAAUUCCAUUUUCUGGAUUCUAUUAAAAGAAUAGUUGUUGGUUCUGUGUAAAGCUUUAUAUCUAGUAAUAGUUGUUGGUUCUGUAUCAAUCUUGAAAUGUUUCUGGAUCACCUGUAAAAAAAAAUUAAUUACCAACCUGCACGCACAAGACAUAUAUCUUUCUCAUCAUUUUAAACAGUAACCAUUGAUACUCCACAUAUACAUUUUCUGAGAAUUACUCCAUAUAUGUAGGAUGGCAGCGGUAUUGACAAAUCACCACGGAGAAAGUAAAGAUAUCGAGAGGAUUCCGUUUGUUUGCUCUAUGUAUUGUAUUUCGAAGCGCAGGAAAAACACACACAAAAUUCUAGUUUAUUUUACUGCAUUUUGUAGUAAAAGAAAAUGAAAAUCACAAAAAAAUGUUUGUUUCUUUGCCUUUUGUAGUAAUGGAGAAGGAAAGUAAAAAAACUGCUUGUUUUCAGGGUCGAGCAAUCUGUUGGUUUGUUGUUCACUCAGAAAUGUUUUU